GUGCUCCCUUUGGCAACACAGACACUAAAAUUGGAACAUACAGAGAUUAGCAUGGACCCUGUCUGUGCAGGGAUGACAUGCAAAUUCAUGAGGUAGUCCAUAUUUUU
rnacentral:snRNA from 1 species